AUGGAUAUGUUGUAAAGAAUUUUCAUUUGAUUGUUUUGUAGUGCGAAAAUAUCUGGUCACCCGGUGCCUCGGAAUGCGAUAAAUAUAGGGAAGUGCUUGAUGGCUGUCUUAUGGCAGAAAGGCGUAAGUUGCCAUUUAUCGUACUCGUUCGACUUUCAACUUGUAGUCUUUUGAAAUAUGAAAUAGCUGCAAAUUUGUGAAUUUUUUUGUACACUCGCUCUCCCCCUUAUUGGUCAGACGUCUAUGUAUAGCUGUUAAUUUGUUCCUGAUUUUGUCUUAUCCUUUGCAUUCAUUCAUAUAUACUAGUGUUUGCUACUUGGUAGGAAGGAUUAAUCAAUCAUGGCUACAUUUACCUGAUGUAUUAUAGCUUGGUCUAUUCAAGUGAUACGCUGAACUAUCACAUUGGAGCUCUGCUCUUUUAGGACAUAUUAUUAUUAUUUGGAAUCCUAGAUAUUUAAAAGUACUUAGAGAUUUGUAUUAGUGCCAUCAGCAUGCAUUGUCCAUGCAGUAAAAUAUUUUCCUUGUUAAAUUCGUAGGUCUAAGCCCCCUCUCUCUGACCUUCCUUUGGUUUUGGAAAUUAAUUGAAUCAUCCUUGUUAAUGCUCUUUCCUGGACUAUGGUGAUUUUCUUGAGUGUAACCUGCGGCCAAGAUAUUGCAAAUUGCAAAUAACAAAGGAUCAAAUUGAAAAGGCAAAUGAAUUAAUUGACUUAAAAUUGUGAGAUCAACCUUUUCAAUAUGUUGAAAUAAGCAAUUUAUGCGCAAAUGGUACAAAGUAAACUGGAAAGACAAAUGAAAUUGACCUUGAAUUUUUUUAAUUUUUUUUUUGUUUUCGAAUGAGAGAUUUAACACAUUAUAUUAAUGAAGGUAAAUGCUUGAAUUUGUUCUCGUAUAUGUAGUGUACAUAAUAAGCGUGUCCUUUGCUUUCUUAUGUGUGUCUCUUGGUAUGAUUGAUUCUGUUUGUUUGAGCCUAGGAGGCACUGUUUGUUUUUCUCUGUUUGUUGUUUUUCCCCUAUGUUUUAGGUGAUAAGCGACAUUGAAGCCUCAUCAAUUUCAUCACUGUUUCGUAUAUUAUUUUGGAAUUCCUUGGUCUGGAGACUAGAUUGUCC
rnacentral:lncRNA from 1 species